ensembl:scaRNA
GGUCGAUGAUGAGAAGUAAAAGGUCUGAUCACCCACAAUCCUCUGCUGCCUCUGGCUCCAAGCAGCUUGCUUUCUGAUCCCAUCAUGCUCCAGUGAUGCAGCCAUGGGCGCAGCAGCUGCUGACACUCAGGAUGUGACAUCACAGAGAGGCUGCAGUGAGAACCUGCAGCCUCUCUGUGAUGGUGAUUGACAUCCAACACAACCAAUCAACACAGAGCGCCAGGCAGAGGAGGAGGAGGGAACUGAUCUCGAGUUUUCAACCUGAGAGC